GGUGGCGUUCUUUUAUCAACCGUUAUGGGACCAUUGACACUUGCAUCCCGCGACACAAAGCCGAAAACUCCAACCGCCGAUGCAGCCGUAAAAAGGCGGAGAGGUGCGAUCUCCUUCAACGCUCGGCUCCUCUUUCCGCUAUCUCCAACCAAGAAUUCAAGAAACGAGCGAGAGAGAAACAAGAAGGAAAGAAAGGUCGAAGAAGAAGAGAUGGACCAUGGACGUCCUCCUGCGCUCCAUCGACGUGAGGGAUCUCCUCUCGACCCAGGAACUCGACGAGUCUUCCCCACUCUCCGCCCCCGACCUCCGCCUCCUUAUCGACCACCUCCAGAUCCGAUCCCUCCACAUCAAGGAACAGGGUCCGCGACUACGUCCUCUUCCACCGCCAAGAUUUUGCCGACAUCUUCUCCCGCUGCUCCCAGGGCAUCCGCCGCCCUCUCUGACGCUCCGCCUCCUCUCCCACCGCCUCCUCGACCACGAGAUCCGGGACAUCUCCACGGAGAUCCGGAGCAAGCGGCGAGAGGCGCUCGCCCUGGUGCGGAACAUUUCUCUGCUGCUGGAGAGGCUGCUGUCCGCGAGGGAGGAUCUCAGGUUCGGGAGUUUGGUGGGGCGUCCGAAGCCGUGCAGGAUUUGAAGGUGGGACUGUUGGUUUCCGGGACGGUGGGUGGGAGCGGAGAGCAAGAAACGGCAGUCUUUGGGUUAUUGUGGAAAGAGUGGAUGGAGUGCUUCAAUGAGCUGCAAAAGGUGCUUGCAAAAGGUAUAGAAAGUUCUGUCCAGUUUGACCAGAAAAUGACAGAGUUACGGUAAGGUCUAGGUCCACCAUUGGAGAUAUGGGUGAAAUAAAGCUCCAUCGGGCAUUGGAGGCAAUGGAGGUAAGUUUCCUCAAUACAUACGUUCUUAGUUUUCGAAUACCACUUGGGAAAAGCAAAUCCUUUAAUUACCCUUCGCUAGCGGCUGACCUACUGUGGUUACUCUUUUGAUAGCAUUAUCUUGGUUUUAAUCUGUACGAAACAAACCCAUAUUUGACAUUUAUUCACAUCCUUUGUUCCUCUCAUUGACAGUGUAUGGAUCUUUACAUCCCACGAAUUGGCAUUUCUUCUAAGGAUGCAUUUAGUUCGCGACCAGAAUCAGAAUGAUUGGAAUGGAAAUCGGAAUGGCUAUAUCCUCCAAUGCAUCUGGUUCGUGACCAUAAUCAGAAUUAUCAGAAUGAAAUUUGAAUAUUGCAGGAGAGCAGGGAUUGGAUUUUGGAGGAUUGGAGCGUAAAUCCCAUUUCUCCUGGGAAUCGGAAUGAUUUCAAAUUUAUUAUAUUAACAUGCUGGGUAAAAUGUUUAAUAGAUAACUGCUGCUCCAUCAUAUGUUCAUAGGUUUGUCUUUUUCCUUUUUCCUUUUUCCUUUUUGUUAAUAACCUUUAUAUAUCCAUGAGCAAUUUGUGGACACGACAAUUCUGUUCUACCACUGUUUUCUUUGCUGUGUCAAUAUGUUCCUUCUUCAAGAUCACUGUGGCAUUGCAUACUUAAAAAGAACUUGUUGGCAUGAACUUAAACCUGCAUUCAUUCAUAUAUAAAGAAAACAGAUCUUUGCGUCUAUCUUUACAGUGAUUUCCACUAGUUAUAUUCACCAUAAGAACACCGAGUUGAUUCAGUGUCCACAUAUUAUUACUCUAUGCCUAUCUCGUGUGCUGUUAUUAUGUUUAAUGUAAUUCAGACUUUAUUCUUUGACGUUUUUACCAAUCAACUUUAUUUUGAUGUGCAUAAAUUUAAUUGUGAACAAUUAGUGCAGGAUGCUUGUUUGCCAUCCACAAUAGUUGCAAAUGAGUUAUAUUGUGCUGCAUGGGAUGCUUUACUUCUAUAGAGAGCUGUUGUGCCAAUCAGGGUUUGCACUUCAUCAUCUGUUGCAUAUAUAAGAACUUUACUAUCUGAACUUCCUGACUGCUUGUAGAUAUUUUAAAUUUACAUGAAAUUGAAUUUUAUUUGUACUAAGUAGAAUUUAUCUUUUCAAUAUGGUCUUGUAAUGGCAUUAAUUCAGUAUUUUGCUGACCCAGAAUUGCCAUCAUAUUAGACUUGUUUCCCUAUUGUUGCAAAGGUCAUAGAUUCAGCUCGCAAAGUACAUUAAUAUUCAUCUAGUUAGUUUUUGGGUGUUCGUCUUGCGUAGCACAAUUUGUUGGAACAUUAAAUAGGCAUUCCUAGCCAACACUUGGUACGCAAGCAACAUCACUGAAAUGGGGCGUUUUUUUGUUGCAAAUUAGGAUUUUUUUUCAUUACAGCGACACUUGGUACACUUGUUACAUCGACACUGCUUCAAGUUUGGACAAGAAACACUUUGGCCCCAAAUUUUUAAUUUUUUUCAAUUAGCCAUUAUAAUUUAUUUUUUCAUUGCAAUGUGGCCAUCUUCUAAGCUUGUCCAUAUGCAGCUAAGCUUGGAAGGAAUGACCUUUUGAUUUCCUCAGCUUUCACUUUCUUUUUGUUCAACAGGAUCAAAGAGGUUGUAGAGGCAACUUCUCCGGAGGUUAAGAGAGUAAAUUAGGAUUCUCGUUGCUGUUAAAUUUAACACUAGCAUUUUUGUUAUAAAUAGUAUAACGUCAUGCAAUAAGGAGGAGAGAUGGUCUGCAAUGCUAUUUCAUUUUUGUAAUGAUCUUUAUCAUCUAGAUUCUCCAUUACUCUAAGAUGAAUCGGUACAAGAAUCAUUAGGGUAUCAUGCUUGCUAGGGUAUAGCUUGUAAAAGCCUGAUAGUGGAAGUUGACUCUUGUUACAA